rnacentral:rRNA from 1 species
AUUGAACGCUGGCGGCAGGCUUAACACAUGCAAGUCGAGCGAGCGGCGGACGGGUGAGUAAUGUCUGGGAAACUGCCUGAUGGAGGGGGAUAACUACUGGAAACGGUAGCUAAUACCGCAUACCAUCAGAUGUGCCCAGGUGGGAUUAGCUAGUAGGUGGGGUAAUGGCUCACCUAGGCGACAAUCCCUAGCUGGUCUGAGAGGAUGACAAGCCACAAUGGAACUGAGACACGGUCCAGACUCCUACGGGAGGCAGCAGUGGGGAAUAUUGCACAAUGGGCGAAACCCUGAUGCAGCCAUCCCGCGGGUAUGAAGAAGGCCUUCGGGUUGUAAAGCACUUUCAGCGAGGAGGCGUUAUUCGCAGAAGAAGCACCGGCUAACUACGUGCCAGCAGCCGCGGUAAUAC